GGAAGAAGCCACGGGUCACCGUGGUGACGGUACCUGUAGAAGAAGCCCCGGCUAACUACGUGCCAGCAGCCGCGGUAAAACGUAGGGGGCAAGCGUUGCCCGGAUUCACUGGGCGUAAAGCGGGUGUAGGCGGUCCUCUAAGUCGGAUGUGAAAUCCUACGGCUCAACCGUGGAACUGCAUCCGAUACUGGAGGACUUGAGGACGGUAGAGGUCGGUGGAAUUCCCGGUGUACCGGUGAAAUGGGCAGAUAUCGGGAGGAACACCAGUGGCGAAGGCGGCCGACUGGGCCGAUCCUGACGCUGAGACCCGAAAGCCAGGGUAGCGAACCGGAUUAGAUACCCGGGUAGUCCUGGCCGUAAACGGUGCGAACUAGGUGUGGGGGGCCUCACGGCCCUCCGUGCCGAAGCUAACGCAUUAAGUUCGCCGCCUGGGGAGUACGGCCGCAAGGCUAAAACUCAAAGG
rnacentral:rRNA from 1 species